AUUCCUACGGGAGGCAGCAGUGGGGAAUUUUGGACAAUGGGCGCAAGCCUGAUCCAGCAAUGCCGCGUGCAGGAAGAAGGCCUUCGGGUUGUAAACUGCUUUUGUCAGGGAAGAAAUCUUCUGGGUUAAUACCUCGGGAGGAUGACGGUACCUGAAGAAUAAGCACCGGCUAACUACGUGCCAGCAGCCGCGGUAAUAAU
rnacentral:rRNA from 1 species